UACAGAGGUCUCAAGCGUUGUUCGGAUUCAUUGGGCGUAAAGGGUGCGUAGGUGGCGCGGUAAGUCGGAUGUGAAAUCUCGGGGCUUAACUCCGAAACUGCAUUCGAUACUGCCGUGCUUGAGGACUGGAGAGGAGACUGGAAUUUACGGUGUAGCGGUGAAAUGCGUAGAUAUCGUAAGGAAGACCAGUGGCGAAGGCGGGUCUCUGGACAGUUCCUGACGCUGAGGCACGAAGGCCAGGGGAGCAAACGGGG
rnacentral:rRNA from 1 species